AACAUCUUAAAUCCCUAAUUCUUCUUAAUUUUUAAAUAAAAAUCUACCUAUAAUUCUAUCAUCUAAAACUCUCACUAUCUUAGUACUGCAAAGGAAAUAAUAAAUUAUUAAUAAGUAAAAACAAAACCUUAUACCUCGUGCAUUAUGGCUUAGCAAGUCAACUCUAAUUCUAGUCUAUCCCGAAAUCUUAACGAGCUGAUAAAUAUUUGUAUAAGAACUCACUAUCGCAUGUUUCAAAAUGCCUAGAAAAAUUUUAUCAGAAGCUACAUACCUACCGCGCAAGACUAUAGCUGGUUCCCUAAAAGCUUCACAUUAGUGAAACAAGAUACAUUCUCUGAUAAAUAAUAAAGGAAAAGCUCUAUUAUAAAAGCCAAUUUUUAAAUCAAACCCCUAAAGUAAGCUUAGAAACUGCUAACUUUCAAAUAACGUUAUAGUAUAAAAACCUUAUUUACAAAAUUAUAAAAAAAAUUGCUACAUCAUACUAGGGAUUAUAUAUCAAUUUUUUUAAAUAAAAAUUCUGCUAAGAUUAGUAUUUAUCCCCCUCCUUAAUAUUUAUAAAAUUCUUUUUCCCUCUAGACAAAAACUCCUUAUUAUAAGGAACUCGGCAAACCCAAGCUCCGACUGUUUAACAAAAACAUUGCCUCUUGAUUUAUAAAUAAGAGGUUCAUCCUGCCCAAUGACUCUAGUUCAAUGGCCGCGGUACCCUGACCGUGCAAAGGUAGCAUAAUCACUUGCCCCUUAAUUAGGGGCUGGCAUGAAUGGACACACGAAAGCUUAACUGUCUCAUAAUAAUUAAUAAAAAUUAAUCUUUAAGUGAAAAAGCUUAAAUUCUAUUGCAGGACAAGAAGACCCCGUUGAGCUUUAUUCUCUAUAGACCAUUACUAGUAUUCUCUAUAUUAUAAACCUAAAAAAGAAUUUAGUUGGGGUGACUAAGGAACAUCAAAAUCUUCCUCUUACUAACCAGGGUUAUUUCCCAAAACAAUUGACCCAUAAUCAUGAACAAAAAAAUAAGCUACCACAGGGAUAACAGGCUAAUCUUUCUCAAGAGCCCAAAUUGUCAGAAAGGAUUGGCACCUCGAUGUUGGCUUAGGGGCCCCUAAUAGUGCAGAAGCUAUUAAUGGUAGGUUUGUUCAACCUUUAAAACCCUACAUGAGCUGAGUUCAGACCGGCGUAAGCCAGGUUAGUUUCUAUCCUCAAUUCUAAUAUUUACAUAAUAGUACGAAAGGACCUUAUUGUAAUAAAAAUUUUAAUAAUCAUGAAAUCAACUAAUUUCUUUUAACAAAAACUCCUUAGAAAAAAUAC
rnacentral:rRNA from 1 species